rnacentral:misc_RNA from 1 species
GUGAAUCAUCGAAUUUUUGAACGCAUAUCGCACUUUCUGGUAUUCCGGAAAGUAUGCCUGUUUGAGGGUCAGUUAAAUAAAAAUCGGUGUUGUUGCUACUUUUAGCGAUGAUGCAUCGGAAUUGAGUUGUCUUUACCUUUUUUGGUUAAAGUGACUUAAAUUAUGUAAGGUUUUUUUGACCUAUUUUAAUUGUUUUCCUUUUUUUAUAAUUUCCAAUAUAUUUAGUUCGGUCC